UCUUUGCAUUGCUUUCUUGUUCUUCUUCAAACUAGCCACUUGCCUGCAAAACCAGACUGAUCGACUUGCAUUGGUAUCCUUCAAAAAUGAAAUUCGACGAGAUCCCUUUGGCGUUCUGAGUUCUUGGAAUGAUUCUCUUCACUUCUGCGACUGGUAUGGCGUUUCUUGUAGUCGGCGGCAUCCUGACAGGGUCACAGCGUUGAACCUGAACUCGCAAGGCUUGGUUGGGUCACUUUCACCCUAUAUAGGAAACCUCUCCUUCCUCAGGAAUAAAUUCACUGGAACCAUUUCAUCAUCAAUCAGCAAUUUAUCUUUGCUGAGUAAUCUCUAUAUGGGGUUCAACGAUUUCAAUGGAAGCAUACCUCCAGGUCUUGGUACUUGUCAUUUCUUGAUCGAGUUGGAUCUCUCACAUAAUAGUCUCAGUGGUUCUAUACCCAGACAGGUUAUCGGCCUUCCCUCCCUUUCAAUUUCCCUCAAUUUAGCUGCUAAUGCACUUACAGGUCCUAUUCCAUCUUGGAUAGGUGAAAAUAUAUCUUCACUUAGGAUAAUUGAU
rnacentral:misc_RNA from 1 species